CGCGGGGGAGAGAAGCGGUUAACUCGUCGGGCUCAUAACCCGGAGAUCAGGUGGUUCAAAUCCCCUCCCCGCAA
rnacentral:tRNA from 1 species